rnacentral:rRNA from 1 species
CCUACGGGCGGCUGCAGUGGGGAAUAUUGGACAAUGGGGGCAACCCUGAUCCAGCCAUGCCGCGUGUGUGAAGAAGGCCCUCGGGUUGUAAAGCACUUUCAGUGAGGAAGAACGCCUGGUGGUUAAUACCCAUCAGGAAAGACAUCACUCACAGAAGAAGCACCGGCUAACUCCGUGCCAGCAGCCGCGGUAAUACGGAGGGUGCGAGUGUUAAUCGGAAUUACUGGGCGUAAAGCGCGCGUAGGUGGCUUGAUAAGCCGGUUGUGAAAGCCCCGGGCUCAACCUGGGAACGGCAUCCGGAACUGUCAAGCUAGAGUGCAGGAGAGGAAGGUAGAAUUCCCGGUGUAGCGGUGAAAUGCGUAGAGAUCGGGAGGAAUACCAGUGGCGAAGGCGGCCUUCUGGACUGACACUGACACUGAGGUGCGAAAGCGUGGGUAGCAAACAGGAUUAGAUACCCGAGUAGUC